UACGUAGGGUGCAAGCGUUAAUCGGAAUUACUGGGCGUAAAGCGUGCGCAGGCGGUUGGGCAAGACCGAUGUGAAAUCCCCGGGCUUAACCUGGGAACUGCAUUUGUGACUGCAUGGCUAGAGUGCGGCAGAGGGGGAUGGAAUUCCGCGUGUAGCAGUGAAAUGCGUAGAUAUGCGGAGGAACACCGAUGGCGAAGGCAAUCCCCUGGGCCUGCACUGACGCUCAUGCACGAAAGCGUGGGGAGCAAACAGG
rnacentral:rRNA from 1 species